GGAUGUGAGGGUGAUCUGGCUGUAACAUCUGUCAUCCCAUUGAUCCAGGGAUGAUUCAGCUGAUCUGGCUGUCUAGGAAAGUGUCCCCUUCCCUCCCUCACCACUUUAUGUAUGUCCCUCCUGAAGCUGGACAUUUGAUGGAAGAGGAUGACCUUCCCUGAUAGAGGAGGACUGUUCUUCAGUCAAGGGUAUAGAGUAGUGGUACUCCUCUGCUAGAACCUCCAAACAAACACUCAAGAGCCUCAGUGACUUGUAAGCACAUUCAAGUUUGAGAAUCGCUGGCCUGUGUCAUCUGCCUCU
rnacentral:snRNA from 1 species